rnacentral:rRNA from 1 species
UACGAAGGGUGCAAGCGUUAAUCGGAAUUACUGGGCGUAAAGCGUGCGCAGGCGGUUUGUUAAGUCUGUUGUGAAAUCCCCGAGCUCAACUUGGGAAUUGCAAUAGAUACUGGCAGGCUGGAGUAUGGUAGAGGAAGGUGGAAUUCCCGGUGUAGCAGUGAAAUGCGUAGAGAUCGGGAGGAACACCAGUGGCGAAGGCGGCCUUCUGGACCAAUACUGACGCUCAUGCACGAAAGCGUGGGGAGCAAACAGG